rnacentral:tRNA from 1 species
AGAAGUAAUUUUAUUGAACUUCUAAUUCAACUCUUAAUGAUAAUGUCAUUUUACUUCUA